CCACAAACGAAACAAUUUGCAUUAGAGAAAAGAAGUGAACCUCUUGUGGGAAUUUCUUUGAUAUUUUUUAACGAAGCGAUCCUAGCACUCGGCAUAACACACAGAGAUCACGCAGCACAGCAAAAGAAAUGCAAAAAUAACAUGUAUCAGGUGGCUACCGAAGUGCACACUCCUAACUGCAAAACCACUAGUAUGUAGCUGAUGAGCUGCAAGGGGUCGCCAUCUGUACUGCUUUGUCGAGGGCGCCUGGGACCUCAUCGGGCAUAAUUUGUACCGCUUCCUGCAACAACAUGUAAACUGAAGCACAAGAGCAAACAAUAGCGAACCACAUUACACUUUUGACUUUUGCUUUAAAAAAAGCAACAAAGACAGUAGACUGCAGGUGCACACGGCAAAUCUCAUCGCCGCGGGGAUGCGCCAUGGAAGGAGAGCACCUUCUAUCGUCCACUCCUCGGCAGUAAGUCAAUGCAGUGCACUACAUGAGCAAUGUUGCGGCACUAGCAAAGUUGGUCAGCAGACACAUCAUCAAUCACAUCUGAGAAACGGAGAAGGCAAGAAAAAGUGAGAGAGAUUGGGAGAACCUGGGCGCCAGGGCUGGCCCUUGGCAUCCUCGGGCCGGAGCAUGAGCUAGGUGACGCAGGAGCCGUCGAGCAUGAAUAGCCUGCCGUUGCCGAUGCUGUAGUCCGCGCGCACCACCAUGCCACGCCUGCCGCACCGAGCCGUCAGGGCAAGGGCUUCAAGCAAAGGAAAGGAAGGGACGGGGAUACUCAACAGGGAAUGGGGCCCUGCUGAUCCCAGGGGUCUUCUUCCCCACGCGCCCGUAUUUUUCUUUUGCCGCACACCCAUAGACAAAGUAGAAGGCCGGGAGAUCUAGAGGGAAGCUAGGCGGUCGAACGGCGGUGUGGUGGCCAUGGAUCUCAGCCGGGUUUGGAGAAGAUGGCCCCUGGGAUCAGCGUGACCACCAUGAAUCUACUGUACUACUGCCGGCUAGGGAGAGGAGGUGGUCGUUGGGGAGAACCGGGGGAGGGGCUAGGCAGCGUGCCCCCGUUUGAUGCGAGGGCGGCAAGGAGAACUGCCAGGGGCCGGCAGCUCGAUCCCGUCGCCUUGUUGCACGCAAGGGGCCGGCUCCGCCCAGAUCCGUUGCCCUGUGGCAAGGCAGGGCAAACUCCGCCGGGAUCCAUCACCUGGUGGCGCGGCAGGGCCGGCUCCGCCCAGAUCCUUCACCUGCUGGCGCGGCAGGGCCGGCUCCUCUCGGAUCCAUCACCCAGGAGGUGCGGGGGUGGAGGUGGGGGUAGAGGUAGCACAAGGACGGAGCUGGGGGUAGGGACGGCGCGGGGACGGAGGUGGUGUGGCGGCACGACAAAACAGGGAGGUAAGUGGUGUGACGGCGGGCUGGGGUGGGUAGGUCGCAGGAUGGAAGAGCCCAGGGGGAGAGAGAGAUGAGUGGUGACAAGA
rnacentral:rRNA from 1 species